rnacentral:rRNA from 1 species
CAACGGCGGACAGCCUGAGAAAUCAGGUCUCCCUUCGGGGACUGCCGGUUCAGGUGUUGCAUGGCUGUCGUCAGCUCGUGUCGUGAGAUGUUGGGUUAAGUCCCGNAACGAGCGCAACCCCUGCCCUUAGUUGCCACCGGGUAAUGCCGGGCACUCUAGGGGGACUGCACGGGUCAACCGUGAGGAAGGCGGGGACGACGUCAAGUCAUCAUGGCCCUUAUGUCCAGGGCUACAAGCGUGCUACAAUGGAUUGCACAAAGGGUCGCAAACUCGCGAGAGCCAGCUAAUCCCAAAAAGCAACCCUCAGUUCGGAUCGGAGUCUGCAACUCGACUCCGUGAAGUUGGAAUCGCUAGUAAUCGCGGAUCAGAACGCCGCGGUGAAUACGUUCUCGGGCCUUGUACACACCGCCCGUCACGCCAUGGAAGCCUGCUGUACCGGAAGUCGGUACGCCAACCCGCAAGGGAGGCAGCCGCCUAUGGUAUGGCCGGUGACUGGGGCGGAAGUCGUAACAAGGUAGGCGUAGUGCU